CCCUUAGAUGUUCUGGGCCGCACGCGUGCUACACUGAGUGGAUCAGCGGGUCAGGUUGCCCGAAAGUGUUUCCUAAUCUUUAAAUCCGCUCGUGAUGGGGAUUGACGGUUGCAAUUUUCCGUCAUGAACGAGGAAUACCUUGUAAGCGCGGGUCAUCAUCCCGCGCUGAAUACGUCCCUGCCCUUUGUACACACCGCCCGUCGCUCCUACCGAUUGAGUGGUCCGGUGAGGCUUUGGGAUCUGAGCGGAAAGAGCGUUUCGCUGUUUCUGCCCGGAAAACUCAGUCGAACCUUAUCAUUUAGAGGAAGGAGAAGUCGUAACA
rnacentral:rRNA from 1 species